GGCUGACUCACCCACCCGUGUUGCGGACGAAAUUGUCGCGCCUCACGUAGGCCGCUACCAUCAACAGAUUUGUACAACUUGUCCGCUCAGUACGUUUCGAUCCUACUGAGGCGAAAGCCCUUAUCCGUGAUCGGCGAAGGAAACAGAACUGAUUUUGUCGUCGCCGCAUUGGCACUAGUGGAGGCCCUUGGAGUAUCUGAGGUCGGCGUUGAUGGCACGGACGAGCUGGAUGGCCUUGAACUACCAGCCGAAGACACCGAAAAAACUUCUUAUCGUCUUCCCCACCUGUUGGCAUACUAGAACACCAAAUGAGGAAUGUGCGGAUGAGGCGGGUAUGGACACCACACCAGAGGUAGGAAUGAGCCAAGCAAUUGUUUUCCUGUUGAGCACGAGAAAACUAUCGGAUGAUAUUCUUCAAGAAAAAUAAUAUUUUCUUAUUGGCAGUGGAUGGGGACGAUUGUUUGAGCAAAAACGGAAGUGUUCGGGAAAACUAUCGGAAGAUAUGACGCAAGAAAAAGGGAUAUUUUUCUUAUCCCCAGCGGUUUUGUCGCACCAAAAAUCACAAUCGGGAUCCACACUAGACUACGAUAUUUUUAAAUGUCGAAAUCGGAACGGAUUUAGUCGUAGUGGGCGAUGGACAAACCGAUUUGCGCAAAAAUAUUCACUACUCGGAUGGAUAAGAGGGCCGUGAGCGAUACAUUUUAUUUUUGCCACCACUAGGUUUUUUGUGUUUGUCACCUUAGUUUUUGGCAAUUUGGAACUUGGCGCGGAAAAAUGCAAAAGAAAACUGCCGAAAUGAGCUGUGCCUCCUGUUGGAUGAAUUUAUCCAGGAUGUGGGGGAAAUUAUUCUGGCUGUUGGUCACUACAGGUGCGACUGGAAUGCUUAAAAUCUCGGUAAUUGCGAAAUUUUCAUAAGCAGCGGAGUGCUGGUACCGCGUAUCGGACUAACGCGUAGGUGCUUACAUAUACCAAAUGUGGUAUGUACAUGUGAAGUAAUCGGUUUUUUUCCCGGAAUUUUUUCCCUGGAUUACUGAUAUUUAUUAUUUAUUAUAAAUAUUCAGUGACAAUAAGAAUGUAAGAAUAUACAAUUCUCUGGAAAUUAAUAAAAAACGCCAAUAAACAACUUCGGAGAAGUGUUUUAUUGGGAGCGGGGUGUUUGCGUGCUGAUCUGAAAAACAUAUGCACAUACAUAUGUACGUGUCGGACGCCGAUAUUAUGGCUGUGUAGCGGAUAACUUGACACGGAAAUUGUCAGCGAGAUCGGACAAUAUGUACAUAAGGAGAUAUUUACAUAUGGAUAUGUGGACACUCGGAAGUGAAGAGUGCGGAACGCCAAUCGCGGAAGGAUUCGAUUGGGGGCACAAUAUGAGCGUACUUAUCUGCAGUUUUCUCUGGAAUCCACCGAUGCUUGCUGGGACAAUCUCAAUUCAGCAAGAAUCCGGCUCGAAGGACCAAUGUUUGUAGUAGGGCGGCUUCCUGUCACUGCAGAUAAAUCCUUGGAAAACCCAAGCGUCCAGAAAUGAAGAGGCACAGUAUAAAUGAUAUAUACAGUGGUUUAUUAUGCACUCGAAACGGCGCGGGUGUAGAAUUGUAUGUGUUUGCGUAUGUAUGGAUGUAGAAUUGUAGAAGUAAUGUCGAUACAUUACUCGCGUGUAGCGGAAUGUACGGGGGUGAGUAGGGAACUGAGGUUAGCUUAGCGGCUGGCUGCCCGCCAGCUCGGGAGCGCCAGGCAAGAAGGAGAGCUCAAGAGCGUAGGGAGUGAGAGCGAGAGCGAGCUCCGGUUGUUAACAACAGCCCGCUGCUAACUCGCUGCUGCUACUUUCAACACAUAGACUUACGAACAAUAAUGUAUCAAAAACAUUAUAUACAAACAAUUUUCUUAACCAAAGAAAUAUUUAAGGGAUGACGAUAGUGAAUAUUGUUAAUAUACAGUGGCGAGCGUUUUUGGUUACAUGGUUACCAC
rnacentral:lncRNA from 1 species